CCUCCGACCUUCCCUCGGCGCUCCCCGCGCGGGGCGGUGCCCCCUCUCCCCUCGGCAAGGGCGGGCCAGGCGGCGGAGGAAGCUCUCCCGCUGGAGGCAGACUCCGAGAGAACUAAGCGCCGUGUGGAGAGUCCUGGCCGGCACCUGUGGGCAGAGCCCGGGUUCCGCGGAUCGGACCUGCGCUGUGCUCGCCGUCGGCGGGGACCCCGGGGCUGGCUCGGCCCUCAGCGCCAGGACUGCGACCCUCACUGACCCUCUUUUUUACUUUUUAAAGUAAGGCUACCUGGAAAAGAAUCUAACUACAGAUGUGGCUCCCGUUUGCCUCUCACAUCGCAUCUCAGUGAAACAUGGCUGCUCUGAAAUACCGCUAAAUCCCCUUGAUAGGGACGCCCGGGUGGCUCAGCGGGUGAGCCUCGGCCUCGGCUCAGGGCGCGACCCCCGGACCCGGGAUGGCGUCCUGCGUGGGCUCCCCAGCCUGUGUCUCUGCCUCUCUCUCUCUCAUGACCCUGUCAGACGUUUUCUGCUCCCUUCUUCACAAGACUGCGAGGCUAAAUGACGCCACUAGGCAGUGACAGACGGAGACUUCAGCUCUUCUGACUCAAAGUCCACCUGUGGAAAGAGAGGUUCUGGAAAUGCUUCUCUCUCCAGAGGCAGAAGAUCCUCAAGCCCCCAAAGGACUGGGAGUGUCUCCAAAACGUACACUUGGAUACUGGUUCUGAAAAAAAAAUCUAUAGGGAAAUCGAUUUUGAAGGGAUCUGGAAAAAAGUAACAACAAUCUCUACACCCAACGUGGGGCAUGAAUUCAUGACCCUGAGAUCAAGAGUCAUAUGCCUUACUGACUGAGCCAGCCAGGCAACCGGAAAAAGAAUAAUUUCUGAGUGAGUUUUGAAUGAGACCCAAAAUUUCAACUUUUGACAUCACACAUCACCAAUCUCAGGAAGUUCUGUCCUCUGUGCUAAUAUGUUGAUGAAACACAAUAUGUGUUCCUCUAAUCUGUCAGAAAAUUUUUGGUAAAUGUAGAAAUAAUACAGGAGAUGCAAAAUUUUAUUCAUAGACAUUAGGAAAAAGUGAGAGGCUCAAAAAGAGGAAUGAAAAUAAUAGCAUAUAAAAAAAAAAUCUUGAGCCAGAAGAAAAGUUUAGAACUAGCUCAAAGGAAAGUGGCCAGUGGUUCAGGAAAGGGAGGAGACCUUCUGGGUAUAUGGCUUCCUGGUAUAGGAAGAUUAGCCCAUAAACUGUAUUAAAACGUCCAUUCUAGGGGCGCCUGCGUGGCUCAGUGGUUGAGCUCACCAUUUGGCUCACAGCGUGAUCCUGGUGUCCUGGGAUCAAGCCCCACAUCAGGCUCCCUGCAAGGAGUCUGCUUCUCCCUCACCUUCUGCCCUUCCUCCCCGCUCCCAGGACCCUGGUAUCAUGACCUGAGCCAAAGGCUGACGCUUCACUGACUAAGCCACCUAGGCACCCCUAGAGUGAACCUUUUAAUUGAGCCAGGAAAAGGUUCUUCAGUCAUUGAUCACUAAACCCAUCAGUUACUUCCUGUCUGUGUGGUAGGAUGAAAACAGAUAUAUUUCUCAGUAAAAUGAAAUGCGGUAACCAGGUGAGCAGACCAGAAAGUGAGCCAGAGUAUUGAAAAUGGAAAACACAAGGACAUAAGUCAAGCUCUCAAAAGUAGUCGAGGCCAAGGGUGCUUUUUGAGGGCUAAGAAAAUGUGGUGGGGGUUAUAAGACUGUAUAUAAUUAACCAAACUCAUAAACUGUAUACUUAAAAUAGGUGAAUUCUAUUGUACAUGAGUUAUAUUACAAUAAAGCUAAAUAAUAAAGAAGCUGACUGAGGUAAUACAAGCAGGUCCCUAGGAGAGACUACCUGGACGCUGGGGAGAAUAUACAGAGAAUCCCCUCACUCAUGGAGGGUUAGAAACUGCCUUGUCUGCCACUGAGUGUCUGCAUGUCAGCAAAUAACAAACCAGGAGGCAGAGCUUGGCUAGGGAGACCCUCAAGUGGCCCAGGGCCUGAGAAAAGUCAGCAAAGAUGGUAUCAGAGCACCUGAAACCAAGAAAAGGCAUCCUUAAAGCUGUAUAAUUUUAUUUCAUUUCAUUUCACUUCAUUUUUAAAGCCAUAUAACUUUAAUCCUAUCUUAACAUUUGUAUCUUUUAUGAAACAUUUCACAUACGCUAUUUCACUUCAGUCAGCACAAAAACCUGCUGAGUGAACAAUGCAAAUACUACCUGUCUAUUACACAAAGAAACUGUGAGCAGUAGGGCUGGUGUCGGGACAUGUGCCAGGGACCAACUGAUUGCCCCUCGGCUUCAAAUUCAUCGUCCAGUCCCUGAAGGAAGAUUUCCAAGUUCCAGCAGCACAGCAACUUCUGCUAAUGUCAGUUUUCCCCCAGUGAGGCCUGGAUCCCAGAGAAGAGGACAUUCCUUAGGUGCUCUUCCUUGGCACCCAGGGAAGCACAGAGAACUCGAACGAGUGCAGUCGAAGGAGCCACUCCUGUUCCACUAGCUGAAACACAGCGUUCAGGGCAGACCCAUCUGUGUUGAGAUCUGGACUUUGUUGGAGAGGGCAUGCUAGGAGCAGGGAAGUGCCUUGGUGCUGCAUCCAGGGAACUUGCUGGAAAUCCCUCUGGAGCUUAUCUGAAAUCCACCCUCGAGGGUGCCAGAGGACUCUGUUCUCUGGAAGGUGUGUCCUGGAGACCAGACCCAUUCUAUUGCAAUAUUGCCCCUGGGGUGGGGGAGGGUACGUGGGGGUCCCUGGGAACCUUUAGCUGCUGGGUACUGACGAUCUCUGUCUGCACACCUCCCUCACCAGCACUUAUUGGGUAUUAACAGGAAAACUAGGAAUGUAGUUUACUCAGCAAAAUCUCCUUCUACGUAUUAUCUGCCAGGACAGCUGUUGUGCUAACUGGUUGCCACUCCAGUGACCUUGGGGUGCGUUGAUACCUGUGCACCUGUGUGCUUGCAGAGAAAGACACCUGAUCUCCUUUAGAAGAUCACCAAGUUUUUCCCUCUAAGGAGUAGGAUGAAUAGUUCGUUUUAAAUCAGAUUGUCCUUUCAGUCCCCCGCAGAGUGGAGUUUAUUAUUAUGCCCAAGAGACUAGAUCCAAAUUGACCAGAGGCUGUCAGGAAAUUAGAAGCCCUUCUUCAUCUUAGACUCCAGUUAUCUCAGUUAGGCACUGGGCUGCCAGUAGGGACGUUGCGUGGGACUCUCUAGGCUUGGGGGACCCCUAGAACGCUCAUUAUCCUAGGUGAGGCUGCCAUAUGAGAAAAUGGUGGAGAGUAUGAACUCUUCAUACUCUCUCUGCUCCUAAAUUUUCUAACAUGAGAAUGUCAAGAGUUAAGAAUUUAUUUUCUAGAUCACCGGGUUAUACUUAGAAACAAAGAUGCACCAGCUUUUUUCCUGAAAAUCUCUUUAAAGGUAAAUGUACCACCUAAAAGGUAUUCUUGCUCCAAAAUUGAAUCUGAAUUGAAAACCUAUUGCCAGUUUAAGGAAGUACUGGAAAUAGAGAAAUAUGUUAAACACCAUGUGAAUGCCAUCAGCAAAAUCCAAAGUAUAGGAAAUUUUACAAGACAAAUAAUCGAUUUUUUUUUUCCCAACCACUAAAUGGCAAGUUAAAAAGCUAUCAGGAAGGAUUUGUAGAAUAUAAGAAAAGAUAUUAACAAAUGCAAAACUUAGUGGAUCUUGUUUGAAUUAACCAACUAUAAAAAAGUAAUAAGGGAAAUGUGAACACUGUAUUUUAUGAUGUUAAGACAUUAGGUAUAAUAAUGGUAUUGUGGUUGAGAUACUACCUCCUACCAGUGAGAAUGGUGAAAAUUAACAAGGCAGGAAACAACAAAUGUUAGGGAGGAUGUAGAGAAAGAGGAACUCUCUUGCACUGUUGGUGGGAAUGUGAACUGGUGCAGCCACUCUGGAAAACUGUGUGGAGGUUCCUCAUAGAGUUAAAAAUAGUUCUGCUCCACGACCCAGCAAUUGCACUGCUGGGGAUUUGCCCCAAAGCUGCAGAUGUAGUGAAACACUGGGACACCUGCACUGCAAUCUUCAUGGCAGCAAUGUCCACAAUAGCCAAACUAUGGAAGGAGCCACGAUGUCCUUUGACAGAUGAAUGGAUAAAGAAGAUGUGGUCUAUAUAUACCAUGGAAUAUUACUCAGCCAUGAGAAAGGACAAAUACCCACCAUUUGCUUCGACGUGGAUGGAACUGGAGGGUAUCAUGCUGAGUGAAGUAAGUCAGUCGGAGAAGGACAAUCAUCAUAUGGUUUCACUCAUACAGGGAAUAUAAGAAAUAGUGAAAGGGAUUAUAAAGGAAAGGAGGGAACUGGGUGGAAAAAUUAGGGAGAUAAACCACGAGAGACUCCUAACUCUAGGAAACAAACAAAGAGUUGUGGAAGGGGAGGCGGGUGGGGGGUUGGGGUAACUGGGUGACCGGCACUGAGGAGGGCACUUGAUGGGAUGAGCACUGGGUGUUAUACUAUAUGUUGGCAAAUCGAACUUCAAUAAAAACAAAUUAA
rnacentral:lncRNA from 1 species